GUCAUAUGCUUGUCUCAAAGACUAAGCCAUGCAUGUCUAAGUUUAAGCGAUUUAAACGGUGAGACUGCGGACGGCUCAUUAUAUCAGUUAUAGUUUAUUUGAUGGUCGAUUACUACAAGGAUAACCGUAGGAAUUCUAGAGCUAAUACUUGCACUUCAAACUGAUUUUUCAGUUGCACUUAUUAGAUUUACCACCAAUGCUCUUCGGAGCUUCGGUGAUUCAUAGUAAUUUAGCGGAUCGCUACGGCUUCGGCCGCGACGCUUCAUUCAAAUUUCUGCCCUAUCAGCUUUCGAUGGUAGUGUAUUGGACUACCAUGGCUUUGACGGGUAACGGAGAAUUAGGGUUCGAUUCCGGAGAGGGAGCCUGAGAAACGGCUACCACAUCUAAGGAAGGCAGCAGGCGCGCAAAUUACCCAAUCCCAACGCGGGGAGGUAGUGACAAGAAAUAACAACAACUAACCUAUUUCAGGUGAGUUGAUUGGAAUGAGUACAAUCUAAACACCUUAACGACUAUCCAUUGGAGGGCAAGUCUGGU
rnacentral:rRNA from 1 species